rnacentral:misc_RNA from 1 species
AAAGUCGUAACAAGGUUUCCGUAGGUGAACCUGCGGAAGGAUCAUUACAAAAGUUUGAAACUCCUUUAGUAUGGCUAUAUUUCCCUUUGCUCUGUGGGCAGGCUCUUCGUGAGCUAGCUCAAUCUUAAGGAGCUUAGGGGGACUUGGUUAUAUUAUAGCGAGGUUCAUAUAACACUUUUAAUAACCACAUUGUGAACAGUUUGUAUCUAACCAAAUGCUAUAUAACAUAUCUGAAAUCAACCUAUUGAUCUUUAAAGAGAUUGAUUAAUUUAAAACAACUUUUGGCAACGGAUCUCUUGGCUCUC